UACGGAGGAUCCAAGCGUUAUCCGGAAUCAUUGGGUUUAAAGGGUCCGUAGGCGGUUUAGUAAGUCAGUGGUGAAAGCCCAUCGCUCAACGGUGGAACGGCCAUUGAUACUGCUGAACUUGAAUUAUUAGGAAGUAACUAGAAUAUGUAGUGUAGCGGUGAAAUGGCUUAGAGAUUACAUGGAAUACCAAUUGCGAAGGCAGGUUACUACUAAUGGAUUGACGCUGAUGGACGAAAGCGUGGGUAGCGAACAGG
rnacentral:rRNA from 1 species